UUCCUCAAAUGCUGAAAUAUUUGACUAUAACACAUAGGGGAUCCUUGGAGAUGACAGAAAACACAUAGUGGAGAUAUCAGUUUCCUUCCUGUGAAACAAGGU
rnacentral:snoRNA from 10 species